CCUACGGGUGGCAGCAGUGGGGGAUAUUGCACAAUGGGGGGAACCCUGAUGCAGCGACGCCGCGUGGGUGAAGAAGCGCCUCGGCGCGUAAAGCCCUGUCAGCAGGGAAGAAAAUGACGGUACCUGAAGAAGAAGCCCCGGCUAACUACGUGCCAGCAGCCGCGGUAAUACGUAGGGGGCAAGCGUUAUCCGGCGUUACUGGGUGGAAAGGGGGCGCAGACGGCGAUGCAAGCCAGGAGUGAAAGCCCGGGGCCCAACCCCGGGACUGCUCUUGGAACUGCGUGGCUGGAGUGCAGGAGGGGCAGGCGGAAUUCCUGGUGUAGCGGUGAAAUGCGUAGAUAUCAGGAGGAACACCGGUGGCGAAGGCGGACUGCUGGACUGCAACUGACGUUGAGGCCCGAAAGCGUGGGGAGCAAACAGGAUUAGAUACCCGAGUAGUC
rnacentral:rRNA from 1 species